GAUGAACGCUGGCAGAAUGCUUAACACAUGCAAGUCUACUUGAACUUCGGUUUGGGUGGCGGACGGGUGAGUAACGCGUAAAGAACUUGCCUCACAGAUAGGGACAACAUUUGGAAACGAAUGCUAAUACCUGAUAUUAUGAUUUUAGGGCAUCCUAGAAUUAUGAAAGCUAUAUGCACUGUGAGAGAGCUUUGCGUCCCAUUAGCUAGUUGGAGAGGUAACGGCUCACCAAGGCGAUGAUGGGUAGCCGGCCUGAGAGGGUGAUCGGCCACAAGGGGACUGAGACACGGCCCUUACUCCUACGGGAGGCAGCAGUGGGGAAUAUUGGACAAUGGACCAAGAGUCUGAUCCAGCAAUUCUGUGUGCACGAUGAAGUUUUUCGGAAUGUAAAGUGCUUUCAGUUGGGAAGAAAAAAAUGACGGUACCAACAGAAGAAGUGACGGCUAAAUACGUG
rnacentral:rRNA from 1 species